rnacentral:sRNA from 1 species
GCCAGGCAUGGUGGUGCACGCCUGUAAUCCCAGCAGCUCAGGAGGCUGAGGCAGGAGGAUCGUGAGCGCAAAGCCAGCCUCAGCUACUUAGCGAGAACCUUUUUCUA